UGUAAAAMKACGGCCAGUUGGAGAGUUUGAUCCUGGCUCAGAUUGAACGCUGGCGGCAUGCUUUACACAUGCAAGUCGAACGGCAGCACGGGCUUCGGCCUGGUGGCGAGUGGCGAACGGGUGAGUAAUAUAUCGGAACGUACCCAGAAGUGGGGGAUAACGUAGCGAAAGUUACGCUAAUACCGCAUACGAUCUACGGAUGAAAGUGGGGGAYCKYMRGRCCUCAUGCUUUUGGAGCGGCCGAUAUCUGAUUAGCUAGUUGGUAGGGUAAAGGCCUACCWAGGCGACGAUCAGUAGCUGGUCUGAGAGGACGACCAGCCACACUGGAACUGAGACACGGUCCAGACUCCUACGGGAGGCAGCAGUGGGGAAUUUUGGACAAUGGGCGCAAGCCUGAUCCAGCAAUGCCGCGUGAGUGAAGAAGGCCUUCGGGUUGUAAAGCUCUUUUGUCAGGGAAGAAACGGSCYBGGCUAAUAUCYGRGSYUAAUGACGGUACCUGAAGAAUAAGCACCGGCUAACUACGU
rnacentral:rRNA from 1 species